GCAGGGAUAGAACGUAAUGGAAGCGUAAUAGUCUUCUAAACUAUUGUCUUUAUGACCUUGUGAGUUCGAGUCUCACUCCCUGUAC
rnacentral:tRNA from 1 species